CAAAUUGAUAGCCUUUAAUUGUGUGGAGCCGUGGCCUUAAAUAGAGGAAUUCUUCACUUAAUCUUUCAUUUUAAUGAUAUGGAAGUUAAUAAAAUAGGGCUGCUCUCUGCGGAGCCAUGACAAACAAAAACGAACAGAGGAUUGGUCAUGAUUUCGGUCUCGUUGUUCCAUUUUGUGGUGUUGUUGAAUCCGGGUUUUCUUCGUAGUGAAGUAAGGUGGAAGAAAAUUAUUUCUUGGAAUAUAAGACUUGCAGGUUCAAGAAAUGAGACAUAGGAUGAGUAAGUAAGCGACGAGGUGCAGAUACUCGCUUUGGUGAUCCGCCAGCUUAGGAUUCCCUUUCUGCUGUCUUGGAGAGCUCCGUCGUUCCGGAGCCUAGAUUUUGGUACAGACUUCCUGAUAUGCAUAUAUAUAUGUUUUUGUCCAUGGGUACGACGGGGCCCUGUCCCGUCAUAUGUUACUGUUGAUACUCCUAGAGGUCUGUAGACAUGUAUGUGGGUUGUGUUCAGAUGUGGUCAGUUGUGCCUAUAUGGUCAUUAUGGAUGUUCUAGCGCUGUAGCAGCCUUGUCGGCUGGCAUAUAUUAUCGUUGGUUGUGGCAGCCUUGCCGGCUUGCAUAUAUUAUUGUUCUGUUGUAGCAGCCUUGUCGGCUUGCGUGAUAUUCUGAUAUGUAGUGGCAGCCUUGUCGGCUUGCGUAGAAUAAUAAUAUAUAUAGUGGCAGCCUC